AUUGAACGCUGGCGGCAUGCCUAACACAUGCAAGUCGAACGAGUGGCGGACGGGUGAGUAAUGUCUGGGAAACUGCCUGAUGGAGUUGGCUAACUACUGGAAACGGUAGCUAAUAACGCAUACCCUCCGAUGUGCCCAGAUGGGAUUAGCUGGUGGGUGGGGUAACGGCUCACCAAGGCGACGCUCCCUAGCUGGUCUGAGAGGAGGACCAGCAACACUGGAACUGAGACACGGUCCAGAAUCCUACGGGAGGCAGCAGUGGGGAAUAUUGGACAAUGGGCGCAAGCCUGAUGCAGCCAUGCCGCGUGGAUGAAGAAGGCCUUCGGGUUGUAAAGUACGUUCAGCGGGGAGGCGUUACCCGCAGAAGAAGCACCGGCUAACGCCGUGCCAGCAGCCGCGGUAAUUC
rnacentral:rRNA from 1 species